GACGAACCGUGCGAACGUUGUUCGGAAUCACUGGGCUUAAAGGGCGCGUAGGCGGCUGCGUAAGUCUCGGGUGAAAUCUUUCGGCUCAACCGGAAACGUGCCUGGGAUACUGCGCAGCUAGAGAGAGGUAGGGGCGGACGGAACUUCCGGUGGAGCGGUGAAAUGCGUUGAUAUCGGAAGGAACGCCGGUGGCGAAAGCGGUCCGCUGGACCUCUACUGACGCUGAGGCGCGAAAGCCAGGGGAGCAAACGGG
rnacentral:rRNA from 1 species